GAGCGGGGGUGAAGAGGCGCGGGGGCGGCCAUUCGAAGAGGCAUGGCGGUUGCGAUAUUGUGAAUUUGUGAAAAUUGAUUAAAUUCGUAUUAAACAUAUAAUAUCAUUGAAUUCGUAAGUGUUUUUCUAAUAUUUCAGAAGUGACAAGUACACAUCGCUCCACGAACUUGGCUACAUUCCAGGAUAUACCGGAGUCAAGGGAGGAAUAAAAUCUGCCACUACGUUUACUUUGUUGGUGGAAAUGGAUACAAACCAUACCCUUUACUGGAUUAAACCAACCGAAUCUCUGGAUGACUACAAAAGGCGGAUGGAGAAAUAAACUUCAAAAGAGCGGAAGAAAAUAGACAAAAUUGUUAUAGGAGUAAAGCAGUUAACUUGAAGAAAUUAUGGAAACUGAUUUACUUCACAAUCAUUAUCAUGAAACUGUAUGAGGACAUACCACGUACAGCUCGAAUGGCCGACACGGAAUAGGGUCAUUCCGUUAACAGGACGGCCGUCUAUUAGCUGUAUAACUUAAAUAAAUUAUUCAAAAAGUAAUAAUUUAAAGAAUAAGCUGGCAACCCCAAGAGAGAGCGGGGGUGAAGAGGCGCGGGGGCGGCCAUUCGAAGAGGCAUGGCGGUUGCGAUAUUGUGAAUUUG